GGAAGGAUCAUUACCACACCGAUCCACGAUCUUUUUCACCGUGAAGUGCGGUCCACUGGAUGCUGGUGGGUUAGUUUGAUAGGAUUUGUUCCUGUGGAGCUGCUCACUGGUGGGACUGCAAACAUCAAGUGCUGUUAGUUGUCUAGAAAUGGAAAGCUAAAGGUGCGCCCGUCAUUUUACGACGUUAACCGGUCUUGACCAAACAAACUGAACCAAAAGGGUCGGUCCAAACCGUAACACUUACUGUACACGGCGAGGACAGACUCGACAAAGUAAAUAACUUACAACUUUCAGCGAUGGAUGUCUAGGUUCCCACAACGAUGAAGAACGCAGCGAAAUGCGAUACGUAAUGCGAAUUGCAACACCUCGUGAAUCAUCAAGAUUUUGAACGCACACUGCGCCUACGAGUUUUCUCGGUGGCAUGCUUGUCUGAGUGUCAGUGAACACCCCUCAGCGUCAACUUGUUUGACGGCUGGAUGCAGGAUUUGGCGGGAUUAAACAUCCUGUCAAAUUCAGUGUAGGGUUGACCCUGCCCCAUUACCGGCUUGGUCUAAUUUCACACCAAUGUUAUUGUUGGACGUACCGAUAUGCUCGACCCCAGUCAAUCUGUGUGGCACAGCACUCUGUCUCUUGUAGCUCUCGAGCCACAGCGACAUCAAGGAGCGUUGAACCACAUAUUUUGCCGUCAAGCAACGGUCUGGACAGUGCUAACACAGCACACACUCACUUUCUGAUCUCAGAUCAAGCAAGAAGACCCGCCGAAUUUAAGCAUAUAACUAAGCGGAGGAAAAGAAACUAACCAGGAUUCCGUCAGUAAGGGCGACUGAAGCCGGAAUAGCUCACCAUGUGAAUCUGUGCUCAUGCACCGAAUUGUGGUCUGGAGACGCUUGCAUUACUGGCCGGGCCAAGUCCCUUGGAACAGGGCAGCUGAGAGGGUGAGACUCCCGUUCGCCUGGCCUUUGGAGUGAGUGUCAACGAGUCGAGUUGUUUGGGAUUGCAGCUCUAAGUGGGUGGUAAAUUCCAUCUAAAGCUAAAUAUUGGUGGGAGACCGAUAGCGAACAAGUACCGUGAGGGAAAGAUGCAAAGAACUUUGAAAAGAGAGUUAAAGAGUACCUGAAAUCGCUGAAACGGAAGCGAAGGAAACCAGUGCUAGCUGCGUCAUAUUUCCCAUUCCGCUUGCGGGUUGGGCGCUGUGGCCAGCGUAGUCAGGCUUGGUUGGGAUGGUCAGAACCGCGCCGCGAGAGUUGAUCUCGGCAUGUCUGUGACUGUUUGGACUGAGGCUGGCGAAAUGGUUUUCUUUACCCCGUCUUGAAACACGGACCAAGGAGUCUAACAUAUGUGCGAGUACAGAGGUGGCAAACCUCCGUGCGCAAUGAAAGUGACAGUGGCUGGAAUUUGAUUGCACAGUCAGCCGGCCUCAAUGUUUCGGCAGAACGGUCUGAGUUUGAGCAUACAUGUUGGGACCCGAAAGAUGGUGAACUAUGCCUGUAUAGGGUGAAGCCAGGGGAAACUCUGGUGGAGGCUCGUAGCGAUUCUGACGUGCAAAUCGAUCGUCAAAUAUGGGUAUAGGGGCGAAAGACUAAUCGAACUAUCUAGUAGCUGGUUCCCUC
rnacentral:misc_RNA from 1 species